AACGGCCAUAUUACGUUGAAACACCGGUUCGCAUACGAUCACCGAAGUUAAGCAACGUUGCCCCUGGUCAAUACCUAAAUUGGUUACUGCUUGGGAAUACCAGGUACUGUAAG